rnacentral:rRNA from 1 species
GACGUAGGGCGCGAGCGUUGUCCGGAUUAUUGGGCGAAAGAGCUCGUAGGCGGCUUGUCGCGUCGUCCGUGAAAACCUGCGGCUCAACUGCAGGCUGGCGGUCGAUACGGGCAGACUAGAGUGUGGUAGGGGAGACUGGAAUUCCUGGUGUAGCGGUGAAAUGCGCAGAUAUCAGGAGGAACACCGGUGGCGAAGGCGGGUCUCUGGGCCAUAACUGACGCUGAGGAGCGAAAGCGUGGGGAGCGAACAGG